UACGUAGGGUGCAAGCGUUAAUCGGAAUUACUGGGCGUAAAGCGUGCGCAGGCGGCUUUGCAAGACAGAUGUGAAAUCCCCGGGCUUAACCUGGGAACUGCAUUUGUGACUGCAUGGCUGGAGUGCGGCAGAGGGGGAUGGAAUUCCGCGUGUAGCAGUGAAAUGCGUAGAUAUGCGGAGGAACACCGAUGGCGAAGGCAGCCUCCUGGGCCAGCACUGACGCUCAUGCACGAAAGCGUGGGGAGCAAACAGG
rnacentral:rRNA from 1 species